CUCUCAGAUAGGCUUUAAUGCUAAUGAGUCAUCAUGAACUGUGUGGGAACAUGUUGCGCUAUGCAGAUCUAUGAACAGCUGUGGAAUAACUUCGCGUAUUUAAUAAGGACGUUAAAAUGUCUUCAUAUUUUAGUCUGUUUGUAUUUUUGUACACAAUCAGUCUACCUGAUCAAUCAUUCGGUGAAAUGUUUACUUCUAUGAUGAGCGUGAAUCAAGCCGUUUUCUCAGAAAGACAACUCGUCGAUCUUUUACAAAUAUACUUAGAGCACGAAAAGCAAAGACUUAACGAUAUUAAAAGGUUCUUUUCAAGAGUUACAGCAUUGCAUACUGGGAUAUACAGUGGAUCAUCAUCUACAAUAGCUAAUCCUGUUGCUGCAUUCAAACUGGUCAAAAGACUUCAGUCUGAAUGGUUCAAUGUGGUUUACAGCAAUGAAGCCAAAGAAAACCUUCAAGCCCUUAGGGAUGGCUACGGUAGGAUAGAAGGCAGCUUACCCAAGCUGGAGGACCUUCAGGGAGCAGCACAGGGGCUGAUGAGACUUCAGGAUGUGUAUGAUCUUCAUGUAGAGGGACUUGUGAGAGGUCAUUUCCAGCAAAUGACAAAUGGAAAUGCUGUUGACAUUUACAACCCCCUUGUGUCUGACACACUCUCUGGGGACGAUUGCUUCCUGAUUGGAAAGGUGGCGUACGAUUUGGAAGAUUACUACCAUUCUACGCAGUGGUUUGAGGAGGCUGUUCAGCAGUUACGAGGAACUAAAUGGAGUCCAGAAAAUGAAGGGACACUUGAAGAUGCCCUUGACCAUUUAGCUUUCUCCCAUUUCAAGACAGGAAACAUAUCAUCCGCCCUCAGUCUCUCUCAGGAACUAUUGCUUCAUGAUCCCAUGAACAGAAGGAUACUUUUAAAUGUCAACAAGUAUGAAAAACUCCUUGUUGAAAGUCCCCUCGUCACUAGCCAAAGCUUGUCUUUCAAAAGGCCCAACACCACCUAUCUCAGAACCAGGACUGCCUAUGAAAAGCUUUGCCAAACAAAAGGAUCUCAGCCAAAACAUUAUGAGAACCCCAGGCUUUUCUGUGACUAUUUCACCAAUGGCAACCCUGGUCUCCUUCUGCAACCAAUAAAGCGAGAGCUGAUCAGUCUGGAUCCCUAUGCUGUGCUUUUCCAUGGUUUUGUCACCCAUGCUGAGGCAAAAAGCAUCAGAGACUAUGCAGUGCCAGGGCUAAGAAGAUCAGUGGUGGCAUCAGGAGUAAAUCAGGCCACUGCAGAAUAUCGCAUCAGCAAGAGUGCUUGGCUUAAAGAGUCAACUCAUGCAGUUGUGGGCAAGUUGGACCGGCGCAUCACUAUGGUCACUGGGUUGAAUGUGCAGCCUCCUUAUGCUGAAUACCUCCAAGUUGUUAACUACGGCAUUGGAGGACACUAUGAACCUCAUUUUGACCAUGCCACAUCUGACUCCAGCCCAUUGUACAAACUAAAAACCGGAAAUCGAGUGGCUACGUUCAUGAUAUAUCUGAGCUCUGUGGAAGCAGGAGGAUGUACAGCCUUUAUUUAUGCCAACUUCAGUGUUCCUGUAGUGGAGAAUGCUGCUCUCUUCUGGUGGAAUCUUUAUAGAAAUGGACAAGGAAAUGGCAACACUCUUCAUGCUGGCUGUCCAGUCAUUGUUGGCGAUAAGUGGGUUGCCAAUAAGUGGGUUCAUGAGUAUGGGCAGGAGUUCCGGCGACGUUGUAGCCUCAAUCCUGAGGAGUGAAGGGAAUAAAAGAAGGGUCUUGAACCACUUGGAAUACAAGAAUCAAUCACCAUAAAGGAAUAACAGAGGCUAGAGGGGGAAUUAAAAGCUGACAAUGAAAGGCGAAAGCAGUCGAGAGCUGCCACCGGCCUUCAUAGGUGAUUUUAGACCCUACAUGGAUCAUUUUCAUGGAGGUCUAAAGAGCACUGGGAAAAAGAGGGACUGCCGGUGUGUGUGUGUGUGUGUGUGUGUGUGUGUGUGUGUGUGUGUGUGUGUGUGUGUGUGUGUGUGUGUGUGUGUGUGUGUUGGGGAGUCCUUUAGCAAGCAGCCCUAAAGGCAAGCUGACCUCUUGUUCCUUCUUUCCAGGUGCCCAGAUAUAUGAUGAAAAUGGAAAAUACAGAUGUUUACAUGACUGUGUAAUGUUGAUUUGUUUGAUGUAGUUUUAGAGAACAGGUGUUCUGACAAACUAUUUAAAAUCCGUUCUUAUAAUUACAAUUACAAUAAUUCAUCCACUUGAGCAUUUGUGCACGGUUUGUACACUUGUAUGUGUCCUAUAGUAUCUUUUGACUCAGAAAACAUCUGCACAUGUGGCUAGGAGUUGCUUGGAACCUGCAAAGCAAACAAAAUUAAAAUCAGCAAUAAUUCAUCCUGAGUCAGCCGUUUCACAAUGUCAGGAUGCAACUUGAUGAUUUUAUCAUUAAAAAUGGCAUGCAAAGUGCAUUAAGAUCAUAUCAGCCCAAUCUUGGCGUCGCUACAUUGGCUACCUGUUAAAUUACGUAUUCAUUUUAAAAUACAUCUAACUACUUACAAAGCCUUGAAUGGUCUAGCUCCACAGUACUUAUGUGAGCUUCCAUCACGUUCACUAAGAAGCAUAAUUUUGGCCUGUUAAUAAUACCUAGAAUAUCAAAAUCCACAAAAGGAGGUGGAUCCUUUUCCUAUUUGGCUCCUAAACUAUGGAAGUCUUCCUAGCUUUGUUCGUGACUCAGACACACACUCUCAGUUUAAGUCUAGACUAAAGACUCAUCUUUUCAGCCAGGCAUACACCUAAUUUAUCUAUCAACUCGUAGUUAGGCUGCAUUAGUUAGGUCUGCCGGAAACACAUCUCAUAUUCUAUAAUCCUGUUUUAAAGUGAAUUGCAUCUACGCUAAUAAUAUUCUGUUAGUUUCCCUGUCUUAACCUCGGGAUAUCCUGAGGCUACCAGAGCCUGCCAGAUCCAGCUCUGGUCCUGCAUGGUGUCCAACUCCCACUACUACGUGUUGCUGAGUGAUGACAACUAACUGCAGCCUGUGCCAGCCAGAUAUCACUUCAGUCUACUAUGAUGGACUUCACAGAGGAUGAACUAAUGCCAGCACCAACCGUCAGACAUGGGAUACUUCACUGGACACUGCCUGAAACUUGGACUUACGAUGGACUCCACUAGGAAUGAAUCUGCCACAAGCUUACAGUUGAACUGCAGCGCACCUUACUGGCCUCUGCCUGCAUCACCUUGGUCAAAGGAUGGACUACACUCUUAAAAUGGAAUACAUAGAGAGCGAGAUGAUAAUAUUCAGUCAAGGGCAGAAACUGAUGUGGCAGGGACCUCAGCAAACAGCAUUCAAUAAGAGAAGGCUGGUCAAUCUAAGAUAAUUGCAUCAAUCUCAAACAUCUGCUGAUUAGGAACCACAUCGAUCUCAAAUCCUCGCCACUCAAGAACAGCCAUAACAACAACAAAUUGCGGUAAGUCAUUGCAUGGCAUCAGCUCAUGUUAUUUCUUCCUGCAUUACAUGCCACAUGUUUACUACAGCUUGUUCUGUCAGCAGUGAGGGAUUCACAUGUGAUAAAUGUAAGGAAUUAGUCAGGCUGAUGGAGAAGGUUAAUGAGCUAGAGACACACAUCCGAACGCUAGGGGAGGUCAGUGAGAAAGAGAAGCUGGUAGAUACUGUUUCGGAUGUGGGUAGAACAGCAACCAACACGCACACUUUGGUUCCGGCUCUAGAGCCCCCGCAGCAGGGUGACUGGGUGACGUCUCGGCGGCAUCCUCUCUCAGAAAAGCAACAACACUCUCCCGUUCCUGUUAGGUUUCUACAGAGAAGUGGAAUAUAUGAACAGUUUCAGUCAGGAUUUAGGCCCCAUCACAGUAAAGAGAUUGCAGUUAUCAGAGUUACAAAUGACUCGUUCUUAUCAUCUGAUCAUGGCUGCAUUUCUCUUCUAGUGCUUUUAGAUCUUAGUGCUGCCUUCGACAUAAUAGAUCACAACAUUCUCUUAAAUAGGCUGGAGAAUUAUGUUGGCAUUUGUGGACUUGCAUUAGCAUGGUUUGGAUCCUAUUUAUCAGACCACUACCACUUUGUAUGUGUAAACGAGGAAUUGUCAAAUCAAACAAAAGUUAAGUAUGGAGUGCCACAGGGAUCAGUUUUAAGACCUCUGCUUUUCUCCUAAUACAUGCUUCCCCUGGGAGAUAUUAUCAGGAAUCAUGGAAUAAGUUUUCACUGUUAUGCCGACAAAAUUCAACUUUAUAUUUCUUCUAAUCCCAAUGAAAAAUCACAAUUCUCCAAAUUAGCAGUGUAUCAAUGAAAUCAAAGAUUGGAUGGCCAGAAAUUUCCUUCUACUCAAUUCAGACUAAUGAUUGGACCAAAAACCUCUAAAAAUAAGCUGAUAAAUAUAUAAUUUGACACUCGAUGGAUGUACUGUUACAUCGUCUUCAUCAGCAAAGAACUUAGGUGUUAUAUUUGUUACCAAUCUGUCCUUUGAAAAUCAAAUUUCCAAUGUUUGUAGAACAGCAUUCUUCCACCUAAGAAAUAUUGCUAAAUUACGACACAUGCUUAGUUGCUGGUGCCGAAAAAUUAAUUAAUGCGUUCAUGAACUCAAAACUAGAUUAUUGUAAUGCAUUAAUGGUAGGAUGUCCAGCAAGUUCAAUAAAUAAACUUCAAUUGGUUCAAAAUGCAGCUGCCUAAAUAUGAUCAUAUUAGCCCAAUUUUAUCAUCGUUACAUUGGCUGCCUGUUAAAUUUCGUAUUAUUUUAAAAUUCUGUUAACUAAGUACAAAGCUUUGAAUGAUCUAACUCCGCAGUACUUAAGUGACCUUCUGACAUGCUAUAUUCCAUCACGUUCAUUACGAUCACAAAAUUCUGGCUUGUUAAUAAUUCCAAGAAUAUCAAAAUCCACAAAAGGAGGUAGAUCCUUUUCAUAUUUUGCUCCUAAACUAUGGAGUAGUCUCCCUAACAGUGUUCGAGAUGCAGACAUACUCACUCAGUUUAAGUCUAGACUAAAGACUCAUCUAUUUAGCCAGGCAUACACCUGAUUUAUCCAUCAACUCACAAUUAGGCUGAUUUAGUUAGGUCUGCCGGAACCAGAAACAUCCAUCAUGAUCUAUAACUCUGCAUAAAAUUGAAUGGCAUCUACGCUAAUAUUAUUCUACUUGUUUCCAUGUCUGAUUCAUGUCCUGAGGUUACCAGAGCCUGCCAGAUCCAGCUCCAUUCCUGCUUGGUGUCAGACUCCACUUCUACAUGUGGCUGAGAGAUGACGACAAACUUCAGCCGGUGCUAGCCAGACAUCACUCCAGUUUUUUUUACUUCAGAGGAUGAACUGAUGCCAACUCCAACUGUAAGACAUCAGAUGCUUCAUAUGCCAUUGCCUGAACCUUGGACUUAGGAUGGACCCCACUGAACCUCACCAAAAUGCCCUGCAGGUUGAACUGCGAUGCACCUCAUUGAUCUCUGCCUGCAUCACCUUUUACUAUUGAUGGACUACACUCUUGAAAUGGAAAACAUAGACUAUCAUUUACUUGCCAGCUUACAAAGGACAAUACAUCUAUGUGGACUUCUGCAGUUAAUACAGGAUGGACUUCAAAGACAUUAGUCAUUAAUCUUAAAGUUCAUUAAAAAAAAUAAAAUCUUUUCAUUUUUAAAACACUGGACCUUAACUCUUACUUAAUUUACACAUUUAAAACCACGAGACAUUUAAUUUGUUGUUCAAGAGCAUAUUUUAUUUGCAGUGGAUGUUCAUCUAAGACUGUGACAGUAACACAGAUUCAAUUGUUGCAGUGUUUGCUGGUUUGAUCUAGGGCUGAACGAUUAACUGAAUUAAAAUCAAAAUCAUGAUAUGACACAGCGCGAUUUUCAAACCGCGAGGGCUGCGAUAUAAUUUAAUAAAUAUAUAGUCUUAACGCGCUGCCCACUGUGCUGCACCUAUUUGCACGGCUCUUUUGUCUGUAGUAUGUAGUGCUUUCUUAAAUACAUAGGGAUCAUUGUAAUACACAUGUGGUUUUAGAGGGGUUCUGUGAUCCAUACACACAAUUUCACUGCAUUAAAAGGCUGUUGUCAGCUCCACUUCAAAUAACAGAAACUUCCGUCCCUUCAGUUUUCAAAAUAAAAGCUUCCGCCGAAAUUGGUUUGAAAAAAGGUUUUACCGGGACUCCAUAGUAAGUUAAGAAAUUAUUAAAUAAAUAAAUUACUAUUAAAUAAUAAUAAUAAUAAAUUACAAUAGUAAUAAUGAUAAUUAUAAUUAUAUGAUAAUAUAUUUCUAUAAUAAUUUCUCAACUUAACAUUAUUAUUAUUGCAAUAAUAUAAUAUUCAAGUUGACUGGGUUUAAAAAAAAAUAAUGAUGAAAAGUGAACUGACGCUUUCACAAACUGGACAAUUUUUUUUUUUUUUUUUUUUACAAAGCAAAGAAUGUGAUUGUGAUGCUUUCCCCCCUCUUUUGCACUGUUUUAUUUUUUAUUUAGUUUGGUUUUUUUAAAGGACUCAAGUGUGAACACCCUUUCUAGAACAGUAUUUCUGGUCAGCAGUGAAGCAUGGGCAAAACAUGGUUUAAUUUUCGUUAAAAUGAAUCAGGUUUUUUUUUUUUUUUUAUCAUAUCGCAGUUCAAAUUGCAAUCGCACUUUUUUUUCAGAAUAAUUGCAAUUAUAUUUUUUUUCAAUUAUCGCAAUUGAAAUUAUAGCAAUUAUCGUGCUCUUGUUGUUGUACCUCCCCCUUUCCUUCAGUAGACUCUGUGUGUUAGCACCAGUUGUAAUCACACAGAGAGUGUACCUUCUUUAUUUGAAUUAUCUGUU